rnacentral:rRNA from 1 species
CCUACGGGAGGCAGCAGUGGGGAAUUUUGGACAAUGGGCGCAAGCCUGAUCCAGCAAUGCCGCGUGCAGGAAGAAGGCCUUCGGGUUGUAAACUGCUUUUGUACGGAACGAAAAGGCUCUGGUUAAUACCUGGGGCUCAUGACGGUACCGUAAGAAUAAGCACCGGCUAACUACGUGCCAGCAGCCGCGGUAAUACGUAGGGUGCAAGCGUUAAUCGGAAUUACUGGGCGUAAAGCGUGCGCAGGCGGUGAUGUAAGACAGGCGUGAAAUCCCCGGGCUCAACCUGGGAAUGGCGCUUGUGACUGCAUCGCUGGAGUGCGGCAGAGGGGGAUGGAAUUCCGCGUGUAGCAGUGAAAUGCGUAGAUAUGCGGAGGAACACCGAUGGCGAAGGCAAUCCCCUGGGCCUGCACUGACGCUCAUGCACGAAAGCGUGGGGAGCAAACAGGAUUAGAUACCCUGGUAGUCCACGCCCUAAACGAUGUCAACUGGUUGUUGGGUCUUAGCUGACUCAGUAACGAAGCUAACGCGUGAAGUUGACCGCCUGGGGAGUACGGCCGCAAGGUUGAAACUCAAAUGAAUUGACGG